rnacentral:rRNA from 1 species
AGAGCGGCGGACGGGUGAGUAAUGCCUAGGAAUCUGCCUGGUAGUGGGGGAUAACGUUCGGAAACGGACGCUAAUACCGCAUACGUCCUACGGGAGAAAGCAGGGGACCUUCGGGCCUUGCGCUAUCAGAUGAGCCUAGGUCGGAUUAGCUAGUUGGUGAGGUAAUGGCUCACCAAGGCGACGAUCCGUAACUGGUCUGAGAGGAUGAUCAGUCACACUGGAACUGAGACACGGUCCAGACUCCUACGGGAGGCAGCAGUGGGGAAUAUUGGACAAUGGGCGAAAGCCUGAUCCAGCCAUGCCGCGUGUGUGAAGAAGGUCUUCGGAUUGUAAAGCA